UGGGGAAUAUUGGUCAAUGGAGGCAACUCUGAACCAGCCAUGCCGCGUGCAGGAAGAAGGCCCUAUGGGUCGUAAACUGCUUUUGAACAAGAGAAAACCCCGGUACGUGUACUGGGUUGAUAGUAUUGUUAGAAUAAGCAUCGGCUAACUUCGUGCCAGCAGCCGCGGUAAGACGAAGGAUGCAAGCGUUAUCCGGAUUCAUUGGGUUUAAAGGGUGCGUAGGCGGACUGAUAAGUCAGUGGUGAAAUCUCUCGGCUUAACCGAGAAACUGCCAUUGAUACUGUUAGUCUAGAGUACAGAUGAUGUGGGCGGAAUAUGACAUGUAGUGGUGAAAUACUUAGAUAUGUCAUAGAACACCGAUUGCGAAGGCAGCUCACAAAACUGUAACUGACGCUGAGGCACGAAAGUGCGGGGAGCAAACAGGAUUAGAUACCCCCGUAGUCCCUGAGCGGGCUGGCAAGGCGCAU
rnacentral:rRNA from 1 species